UUGGGAAUCUUGGACAAUGGGGGAAACCCUGAUCCAGCCAUGCCGCGUGAGUGAUGAAGGCCUUCGGGUUGUAAAACUCUUUCGACGGGGACGAUAAUGACGGUACCCGUAGAAGAAGCUCCGGCUAACUUCGUGCCAGCAGCCGCGGUAAUACGAAGGGGGCUAGCGUUGUUCGGAAUUACUGGGCGUAAAGCGCGCGCAGGCGGCUAUCCAAGUCAGUGGUGAAAGCCCGGAGCUCAACUCCGGAACUGCCAUUGAAACUGUUUAGCUUGAGGACGAGAGAGGUGAGUGGAACUCCCAGUGUAGAGGUGAAAUUCGUAGAUAUUGGGAAGAACACCAGUGGCGAAGGCGGCUCACUGGCUCGUAUCUGACGCUCAGGCGCGAUAGCGUGGGGAUCAAACA
rnacentral:rRNA from 1 species